AAUGAACGUUGGCGGCGUGGAUUAGGCAUGCAAGUCGAGCGAGAACACAGCAAUGGGGGACAGCGGCGCAAGGGACAGUAAUGUGUAGAUCAUCUGCCCUCAGGCCCGGGAUAGCUGCGGGAAACUGCAGGUAAUACCGGAUAACAUCUCCGGAUCAAAGGCGUGGUUCCGCCUGAGGAUGAGUCUACAUCCUAUUAGCUAGUUGGCAGGGUAACGGCCUACCAAGGCGAUGAUGGGUAGCGGGGGUGAGAGCACGACCCGCGUCAUUGGGACUGAGACACUGCCCAGACACCUACGGGUGGCUGCAGUCGAGAAUCUUCGGCAAUGGGCGCAAGCCUGACCGAGCGACGCCGCGUGCGGGAUGAAGGCCUUCGGGUUGUAAUCCGCUGUCAGAGGGGAUGAAAUGCAGGUGGGUUCUCCCAUCUGUUUGACAUAGCCUCAGAGGAAGGACGGGCUAAGUUCGUGCCAGCAGCCGCCGUAAAAC
rnacentral:rRNA from 1 species